AUACGUGGUUGGGGAGGUCACUUAGAUAUGCCUAUGAAGGAUCAUGCCUGUGGACAUUCAUAGGAUUCCUGCAGGGAAGAAAGAGAGAGGAGCCCUUUAAGGCUUAAAGGGGCAGCCUGGGUACAGGAAGCACUAGAUUUGAAGCUGGAACAUCUGGCUUCUAGACUUGGUUCUGCCACGAAUGAGCUGUGUGAGCUUGGACAAACCCUUCGGCAAGGGUCUCAGGAAGUGAUCCCAACCAGAAGACAGCCCCCGGAGUUACAGGCAAAAUCAAGUCUAAGUGUGCUUGGGGAGAGGGUUUGCAGUAGCCAGUAGCCUUUUUAAAAGAGUCUGGGACCUUGAAAAGACCAGGAGCAACCGAACCAGUGGCCUUUCAGGGUGCUUUAAUGGACAAAAAGGAGGCAACCUCUUGCCUGAGAAACCGCUCAGGGCAGGUUUGCUGGUGCCCCCUGCGCUACGCAGCCCGUUUGGCAGAGACAGUUCCCCGAACGACCGACAGAUGGCGCGCUAAACCUUCACUGUAGCCUUCCUGUUUCCUACCACUUGUCAGGCUAUGUACUAGGCACUGUGCCAGCGACUGGGGCAACUACCCCCAGGCAGGAUUUCUCACUCCUAAAGGACUAAAUGCAAAGAGCAAGUCAGACAAGCUCAUAGCCCAGGCUGCUAGCAUGCGACACUUUGCAAUCUACACUUCCCUGGACCCCAGAAACGAUUCAGCUGGCUGCACCCUGAUGUUUAAAGCCUUAAUGAGAGAACCCACUUUCUUCUUCUCAGCCUGACAGCCUAGAGCACCAUUAAAUUCAUAUAUUUUGGCAUUUGAUUUAUUUAAUCUGACACUCAAGCAAACUGUCUUAUACUCUUCUCUAAUAGUGUGGAAGAGAGGAGUGUGCAAGGAUAUGGUGUGAUUCAAAAGCUUUGGAGUCUGUCUUGGAUUUUGCCACUUCCUAGCUGUGUGACCUUAGGCAAGUUAAUUACCCAUUCUGAACUUCACCUUUUUCAUCUGUCAAAAUGGGGUUGAUGAUCAUCCCUAUCUCCCAGGAUUGUGCUGAUUCACAGAGAUCAUGCAUAGGAGGCCCUUAGUAUGGUCUUUGGCACAUAGUACAUGGUCAGUCAAUGAUAGCUCCUCCUCCUUUUAUUAUUUAUUAAUGUACAUGUGGCUCUUGUCUCUGUUUUGAUAUGAGAAGACCUUUGAGAAGUAUGGGCCACGCCUGAAUCCAUUUUUAUGAACUUCAAUAUGCCUAGCAGUUUGCGAGUACAUCCUAGGCACUCAGUAAUUGAAUUCUAUUGUAUGGAAGAAUCAGGACAGUUUCUCUACAACUGUGGUUCUCAAAGUGUGGUCUCCAGAGCAGCAGCAGCAGCACCACCUGGGAAUUUGUUAGAAAUGCAGAUUUUUUUAAACCCACCUCAGACUGGCAAUCUGGGUUUCAACAAACCUCCAGUGAUUCUGACACUUUUUUAAGUUGGAGAAUCACAUUCCUACAUCAAUGAUUUCCAAACUUGUUGUAGCUGUGGCAAUGUAUAUAUAUUUUUUAAAUUUCCAAGUGGAAUUGUAUGCAUGAGCCAAUAUAUAAAAAAAGUGAAGGAGGAGGUAUGAGAAAUCAUUGGG